GGUUGAUCCAAGUGCAGUGGUGUUUACAACUAAUUGAUCACAACCAGUUACAGAUUCCUUUGUUCCUUCUCCACUCCCACUGCUUCACUUGACCAGACUUUA
rnacentral:Y_RNA from 1 species